CAGUGCACGUUAAAACGGAAGCACGCUGAAAUUUGUUUGAGCAGACUGUGUAAAAAAAAACUCAUGGAAUCUUUUAUUUUGAAUAAAAGACAAAGGAAGUGGCUACGCUAAUGAACUCAUGUCGCUUUACCAAACACGGAGUUUUUUGCAACACCACGUGAGAACGUGCACCGAGUUACUGUAAGAACAGAACACUACGGCUUCUUUGAGACAGGACAUUCUCUGCCCCUGCCGCUGCAGUCUGUGGAGACCGGGGUGGAAUCAUUUCACUGAACCUUGGUGUUCAUCCCAUCCAGCGGUUUCAUCCAAUCGCCCCGUGGCCUCUGGUGGUUGACUGUGAUGUGGAGCACGGCGGUCGUGAACUUCUACCUGAAAGGACAAUUUCCAUUUCCAAACGUGGGCAGCGUCUCAACUAAAUCAUUACAUGUCACAUUGUUUUUGGACAAUAUGACCUAAGCAUGACAGUGUUCUGGUCCUGUUAUUAUCUUUGAUGGGGCAAAACCACAUCCUCACGUGUGUGCAGCAAAAACCAUAACAACACUGUAUUUAUGCCUGUCUGGGACAGGCGUGGACUCACCGACAGCUGUGUGAUGUGGGACAGACAGAGAAACGUCUUGAAUUUGUCAUCCUGUCUUUGUCUAGGUAGGUAGGUAGACAGACAGGUAGACAGAUAAGGUUUAGAUUUUACAGGCCUCCUGGCUGGCUGGUUGAUGUUAGCCAGUCCUAUCAUUGAACAAUUAUAAUAACGGGGAAUUUAAAAUGUUGAUAAAAUUCUAAACACGGUGGAUAUUUUCCUUCAAAAUAAAAUAAAAAA